CAUUUUCUCCCUCCUGGAAUUGGCCUGGUUGGGUCAGGUAGAAAAUGGCCCCGAUUUCAGACUCCGACAAGCAGACUACUGCAGACUCUUGUUUAACGGUAAUCUGUAAAACGAAAUGAACCAAAGAAGAACGAGACAACUACCAAGGGCUUGAACUGGACGGUGUACCCUGUACAGUAAGGAGCGCUUUGUGUAUUGCAGACAGGACUACAUUCACGCAUGGCUCUCAGCAGCGGCUGGCUGCACUGUGUACACGGGCUGAUGUACCUCUUUCCCCUAAGAGCCGCGGAUCCCGACUCCCACAGUGCAGCACUACUAUAGGAAUAAGGAUCACUUACUGCAUCAAAUCCGCGCUGGACAAGUUGCAUUGCAACUAAAUAGAAAUAACCAUCUUUGGUGUAUUUCCAACAAUGGUAUCCAGCACAGCACUGGUGUAUGAUGAGGAGAUGAUGAGUUAUAAGCUGCUCUGGGAAGACGUAGAGUGUUCUAUUGAGGUCCCAGAGAGACUGUCUUGCUCUUACAAGAGGCUGCAGCAUUAUGAUCUUGUGAAUAGAUGUGUCCAGUUACCUGUCAGAGAGGCUACAGAGGAAGAGAUAACAUUAGUUCACAGUGCUGAAUACCUUGACGUAGUGAAGAGUACUCAGACCAUGAAUAUAGAAGAAUUGAAGAGAACGUCACAGAAGUAUAUUGCUGCCUACUUUCACCAGAACUCUUACCGUUGUGCUAAACUGGCCCUUGGUGGAACUUUGCAGCUUGUUGACGCAGUGCUGUCCGGAGAGGUACAGAAUGGGAUGGCUCUUGUUAGACCUCCGGGACAUCACAGUCAGCGUAGCCAGAGCAAUGGAUUCUGUGUCUUCAAUAAUGUUGCAGUAGCUGCAAAAUAUGCCAAAAACAAGUACAAACUCCAAAGAAUUCUCAUUGUUGAUUGGGAUAUUCACCAUGGACAAGGAAUACAGUACAUUUUUGAAGAUGAUCCAAGCGUUCUCUAUUUCUCUUGGCAUCGCUAUGAACAUGGAUCAUACUGGCCAUACCUCAGAGAUUCAGAUUAUGAUUGCAUUGGUACAGGCAGAGGAACUGGCUACAAUAUAAAUUUACCUUGGAAUAAGAUUGGCAUGGGUAAUGCAGAUUAUAUUGCAGCCUUUUUCCAUGUGCUCCUUCCUUUGGCCUUUGAGUUUAAUCCUGAACUGGUCUUGGUGUCCGCUGGAUAUGAUUCAGGCAUUGGAGACCCUGAGGGACGUAUGAGUGCUACCCCGGAGUGUUUCUCCCAUCUCACCCACCUGCUGAUGCAUCUUGCUGGUGGGAAACUGUGUGCUAUCCUUGAGGGUGGAUACCACCUACGCUCCCUGGCAGAAUCUGUCUCCAUGACUGUGAGGACUUUGCUUGGUGAUCCAGUGCCCAGGUUGUCUGGAGAAAUGACUCCAUGUUACAGUGCUCUAGAAUCCAUACAGAAUGCAAGGCAUGUGCAUACUCCCUACUGGAAAUGUUUAUUGCAUGAUGAGACAAGAUCAUUACAGGAUGUCAGUACUAAAGGCGUGUCUGAAGAUGGACGUUCUCCUGCUGAUGCUUCAGUUGUGGAUGAGUUUCUAGAAAGCCACAUGAAGAAAAUCCUACAUCUGCCCCCUUCCAUUACAACCUGUGUUGUAUCCCCUGGGGAGCACACAUUUGGCUUGCUGGCCGGAGUGCAGGGAGAAGAGAGCAGCACUCCCAGAGAACAAGCAGAUGCUGCAAUAAGUGCUUUCAAAAAAGAACCUAUGAACAAUGAAAGCCUAUUGAUCUCCGUGGGUAAAAUGUUACGUGCUCUUGAUAAGCUUGUGAGCAGACAGACAAAGAAUUGUAUUACGCUAUCCCCGGAUGUUUGUCUUUCUGCUGCAGUUGCAGUACAGCACGUGUUACAUUUAGGUGCAGAACGGAUGUUCUGUGUCAUUAUUGGGGACGUGGAUACUAAACCUAAAUUAACAAAUGACGGGAAAACUCUGUUCCUAAGGAUUUCUGGAGACAAAACCUCUCAGACUAUUCAAUCACAAUAUCAAACUCUUCUUAAGUGGGAAGAAAAUCCAGAUGAAGGCAGCAGCUUCUACUACGCUCUGUUUCGAUUUAUACUUCCACUUGCUUAUAGCUUCCAGCCUGACCUUGUUAUUAUAGCAUCAGGGAGAAACAGAAGCAUUGGUACAAAGGAUAUUGCUCUGCUGACUAGCCUGCUGCAGGGUUUAGCCGAAGGCUCAGUUCUUUCUAUUGUUCAGGAAACCGAAGGGAAAAUGAUAGAAGUUUUGUCCAAUGUUCUGGUCAGCUACCCCUCAGCAAUGGACUUUGGUCCUUACAAAGCUCCAUCUGAAGAAUGUAUGCAAAGUUUAAAAGAAACGUGCGCUGCCACGCAGACUGAAUGGAGAAUGCUUCAGUGUUUCGCAAAGUAGAAGACCAAAAUGUUUACGUAUGAUGGAAAACAUAUGGGAAGGAAAUAAGAUGUGUCAUGACAUGUCUAACAAAGUGAAGCCAUUCUGGGUCUGAGUGAUCCUCUUGUUUCUGGGGAUUCACAUAUAUAUAUGAAAAGAAAAUUUGAAGGCUUACAGAGGUGCUACCAACUGGUUUAAAUGAGGAUAUAGAGUCAAAUCCCCAUAGAAAGGGGAAAGGAAAAAGAAACCAGCAGGCUUUAUUCCAGGACAGUCAGGAGGAUUCCUGUUACCCCGGAGCAGAGCCAUUUUAGGAGCUUUUACUACAUUUGUAGAGAUGUCAAGGGACAAACAAACCCGAUCCGCCCCUUCCCCCACCCCCUCGGAUAUAUCCCUGCAAAGCAAUGAGGAGUGGGAGCCAACCCAGGAGGCGGAUGCGACCGACCAGGCAUCUAGUGACCAGCCGCGGUCGUCAAGGGCCCAUGAGAAGUCCAAGAAAAAGCCUAGUAAAAAGGCAAGAAGCCAGCCAGAGGAGCAGUCGGAGGAGGAAGCCUCUGGUGAAGAAGCAGGACAGAAAAAGCCGCGUGGACCCAGAUACACUGAGGCGGAAAACUGUGUCCUAGUGGAUUGCGUCGACAGGUCCUACGACGUUUUGUAUGGAUCAAGGGCACAGAAAACAGCAUUUAAGGUAAAGCGGAACAUCUGGGAAUCCAUCGCCAGUCAAGUAACUGCAAUUUCUGGAAACCGUCGGAGCACCCAAAAUUGCUUGAAGCGGUACAGUGAUUGCCGCAGACAGACCAAGAAGAAGAUGGGGAUUCAGCGCCGACAUGAGACAGCUACGGGAGGUGGCCCGGCUCUCAAUUUGAAGUGGCUACCCUGGGAGAACGUUAUUAGAAGGCGCUUGAACCCUGUCAUGGUCGAAGGAGUUCGCGGAGGUGUGGACUCCAGCCGUCCUGCUGGCUUUCUCGAGGAGGAAGAACCGCCCAGAAGACGGAGGAAGGCGGGAGGGGUUCACUAC